CUUGUAUCCUGGGGGCUGAUGAGGAGUAGGGUUUCUGGACAACUUAAACAGAUCCAGAGUUAGUCGAUCCUAAUCUCAAUAAUGGGAGAAAGGGAGUACAGUUGAUAUUCUGUAACUGACAACAGUUCGCGGCAACGCAUACUAUUUUUCUCCGCCAAUCUUAUACCGUUGGUAGGGAUCUCUUUCCUACAUGACAGUACUAAUACCCAGGGAAACUGGUCAUCAGGCGAACUGCGGCGUUCUGCUGGCAAAACAUAGCUUCGGUUAUGUCAAUGGCUAUUGGAUUGGUCCAUGAAGCGAAAAAUAGUUUACUGUGUCACUCGUACCGAUAACCGCAUCAGGUCUUCUAGGUAAGUAGCCUAUGGCCAUUGAGGCAUGAUAGUUCAGGGAAUUCGGCCAAUUAGAGCUGUAACUUCGGGAUAAAGCUUGGCUCUGAUGAAAAUCAGAACCGAUUGUUACGCGGAGAGCCCAACUGUUUAAUAAAAACGUAGUGUCGCGCUGUGGUAGUAUAGCCAGUGAACGCGACAUGAAUCCUGCUCAGUGCUGUGUCUGUUAAUAUGGUUCAAGCCAACGAAGCACCGGUAAAUAGCUGGGGUAACUAUGACUCUUAUCAAAGUAGCGAAAUACCUCGUCACUUAAUUAGUGACCUGCAUGAACGGAGCUAUGAGGUUCUCACUGUCCCAAACUGUCUCUCAGCGAACCAACUGUAGUGGGAACGGUCACUAGAUAUCCAGCGGGGAAAGAAGACCCUGUAGAGCUUCACUUUGGUCUAGUCUUGUAUAGUUCCUGCGGGGGUGUAGACUAGGUGGGAGAGCAAUCGAUUCUGAAAAACCACUACCCUGUUUGGAAUUAUGCUUACCUAUCACAAGGAAUAGGACUAGAUAGAAAGUUUGGCUGGGGCGGCACACCUUCGAAAGAGCAGCGAAGGUGUCCUAAGUUGAGCUCAGUGAGGACAGAAAUCUCACGUUGAGGAUAAGGCCAAAAGCUCAAUUUACUGUGCCUUUUUGUACUAGGAUCAGUUACGAAAGUAAGCCUAACGAUCCCUAAAUAGCCUCAGUGCGUGAGGAUUGGGGUGACAGACAAGUUACCUCCGGGACAACUGGCUUGUGGCUGCUAAAAGGAUCAAAUCAACGC
rfam:Trichomonas vaginalis G3, whole genome shotgun sequence.